AAUCUUAUUAAAAUCUGUUCAUAUUCACCCCCAGGAAGAAUAUGCUAUGUGUUUUUUUCUUUUUUUUUCUUCACAUUUUCUGACAAGCGAGCGCUUAGAUAUUGUCUUUUUAACAUUUUUAAUACAUUCGUAGAAUGUUUAGGGAAUUGCGUAUAUAGGAAGGCAUUUUGUGAAAAUUCUGUAGUAAUAUAUAGAGUGGGAAAGCGGCUGUGCGUUUGGACAAUUAACAGACACUGCAGUACAUAAAACCUAAUAAAAACAUCUGUCUCGUCCAGGACCGGAGUCUACGCAGAUUGGUGGGCCUUUUAGCCAAUCAGAGGUACGGUAGGACCUAUAUGCAAACAAAGCCAUUUGCCACACGGGCCUGCCAUCAUUCACUUUGAACUGGACUGUGUGUUUACAGGUAUUUGCAACAGCGAGACAUUAGAAUGCAUUCGGCAAAAGCCACAAAAUACACACCUGAAUGGAUUUCUGCAAAUAUGUAAAUACCACGGGAGAGUCCUCUUACGUUUGGGAACUUGCCAGUCCUAUUGGUCAAACAACCAUGAAAAGGUAGACUCUCUCUCAGUUAUACACAUCAAUAACCAUGAAAAGGUAGACUCUCUCCCUCAGUUAUACACAUCAAUAACCAUGAAAAGGCAGACUCUCUCUCAGUUAUACACAUCAAUAACCAUGAAAAGGUAGACUCUCUCUCUCUGUUAUACACAUCAACAACAAGAUCAAUAACUAAUGCUAGCCAGAUCAAUAACUAAUGCUAGCCAGAUCAACAACUAAUGCUAGCCAGAUCAACAACUAAUGCUAGCCAGAUCAACAACUAAUGCUAGCCAGAUCAACAACUAAUGCUAGCCAGAUCAACAACUAAUGCUAGCCAGAUCAACAACUAAUGCUAGCCAGAUCAACAACUAAUGCUAGCCAGAUCAACAACUAAUGCUAGCCAGAUGAAUAACUAAUGCUAGCCAGAUCAAUAACUAAUGCUAUCCAGAUCAACAACUAAUGCUAGCCAGAUCAACAACUAAUGCUAGCCAGAUCAACAACUAAUGCUAGCCAGAUGAACAACUAAUGCUAGCCAGAUCAAUAACUAAUGCUAGCCAGAUCAACAACUAAUGCUAGCCAGAUCAACAACUAAUGCUAGCCAGAUCAACAACUAAUGCUAGCCAGAUCAACAACUAAUGCUAGCCAGAUCAACAACUAAUGCUAGCCAGAUCAACAACUAAUGCUAGCCAGAUCAACAACUAAUGCUAGCCAGAUGAAUAACUAAUGUUAUCCAGAUCAACAACUAAUGCUAGCCAGAUCAACAACUAAUGCUAGCCAGAUCAACAACUAAUGCUAGCCAGAUCAACAACUAAUGCUAGCCAGAUGAAUAACUAAUGCUAUCCAGAUCAACAACUAAUGCUAGCCAGAUCAACAACUAAUGCUAUCCAGAUCAACAACUAAUGCUAGCCAGAUCAACAACUAAUGCUAGCCAGAUCAACAACUAAUGCUAGCCAGAUCAACAACUAAUGCUAGCCAGAUCAAUAACUAAUGCUAGCCAGAUCAACAACUAAUGCUAGCCAGAUCAACAACUAAUGCUAGCCAGAUCAACAACUAAUGCUAGCCAGAUCAAUAACUAAUGCUAGCCAGAUCAACAACUAAUGCUAGCCAGAUCAACAACUAAUGCUAGCCAGAUCAACAACUAAUGCUAGCCAGAUCAAUAACUAAUGCUAGCCAGAUGAAGAACUAAUGCUAGCCUUCUGCAGCUUGCCUGCCAAUGCAUGCUUGUCCCAACCAAGCACCCAAGCUAACUGGCAAAAGUUGGCUAGCUUGUUAGCUAUCUAUUUCCGGAGAACGAAUGAGAGAACACCUCAGUGUGACCGUUUUACUCUCCCUAGCAGAGCUGGUUAAGCUGUUUACAUGUUAUCUAGAACGUCCUUGACUAAUUAUGACUUUUUUUUGCCGACGUUUACCGACCCCGGUCAUAUUCAGUGGGUUUUGCGCGUUCGUAAAUUAGUUAUUGGUAAAUUCAUCAGUUAUUCUGCGCUCUGGCACACUCAGACGAGAGUGCUCUGAAAUCAGAGUAGAUAGACAAGAGUAAAUUUGCGAAACGCAAGAGAUAUGCUAACUCGAUAAGCAGUCGUUCAACUUCAACAUAGCUAGCUAGCGAAGCGAUUCACAUUUCUUGCUAGCUAACGAAAUUACACCUGCAUUCUCUAGCUGUGUGUAGCCACCGAAAAACAAUAUGAGGGGGAAACAGUCAGUCACUCACCCUCUCCUCCACUGACAUGACAUCCUCCUAACAGCUAGCUAGCUAACGUUAGCCUCUGUGUUUUUAGCUUUCUACAUAAAUAGAUACGUUAGCCUAUUAGCCACGUUAACACUGACUUGUGAUCGUUGCCCUUUGCUAGUUUGAUUGUAUUGACAUUCCCAGCCUUUAUAACUUAAGUAUGUUUUUUGGUUUCAUUGAAACUGAAACAAUGCAUCCCGAAUGGGAAGGCAGCAAACAAUGUAGCAGGCCAGCUGUUGAUUUACAACCUGAUAGCAAUAUGUUUUUUGGGAACGACCAAGAAAUGUAUUGGUGAAUUCUAUUAAUCAUGCAUUUGAACUGCAUUCAUCUGUUCUGCCAACAAUGCCUUACUCUACAUCAUGGAAUGUUAUAAAGUUGGUUUUUAUAGCGUAAACUGGGAUUUAUUUUGUUUUUUUUUACUGAUAUUGUGAUUGUCUAUUUAUUUCAUAUCUGCAAAGUAGUUAAAACACUUGGUCGGUUCCACUUUAAUGAGUAUUAUUAUUAUUAUACUAUUACAGACUUAAUAAUGAUGUUCCGUUAGAGAACUCUCUCACCUCCAACCCCGUCCGUCCGCCCGCCCGCCCGUCCGCCCGUCCGUCCGUCCGUCCGUCUGUCUGUCUGGCUAGCAGUCUGUCUGCCUGUCUGUCUGCCUGUCUGUCUGUCUGUCUGGCUGGCU
rnacentral:lncRNA from 1 species